GACGAACGCUGGCGGCGUGCUUAACACAUGCAAGUCGAACGGAAAGGCCCUGCUUGCCGGGUGCUCGAGUGGCGAACGGGUGAGUAACACGUGGGUGAUCUGCCCCUUAUUUUGGGAUAAGCCUGGGAAACUGGGUCUAAUACUGGAUAGGACCAUGCUGUAGGUGGUGUGGUGGAAAGAUUAGUUUCGGUAAGGGAUGAGCUCGCGGCCUAUCAGCUUGUUGGUGGGGUAAUGGCCUACCAAGGCGUCGACGGGUAGCCGGCCUGAGAGGGUGGACGGCCACAUUGGGACUGAGAUACGGCCCAGACUCCUACGGGAGGCAGCAGUGGGGAAUAUUGCACAAUGGGCGCAAGCCUGAUGCAGCGACGCCGCGUGGGGGAUGACGGCCUUCGGGUUGUAAACUCUUUCAGCCAUGACGAAGCCCUUGUGGUGACGGUAGUGGUAGAAGAAGCACCGGCUAACUACGUG
rnacentral:rRNA from 1 species